UACGGGAGGCAGCAGUGGGGAAUAUUGCACAAUGGGCGCAAGCCUGAUGCAGCCAUGCCGCGUGUAUGAAGAAGGCCUUCGGGUUGUAAAGUACUUUUCAGUCGUGAGGAAGGUGUUAAGGUUAAUAACCUUAGCAAUUGACGUUAGCGACAGAAGAAGCACCGGCUAACUCCGUGCCAGCAGCCGCGGUAAUACGGAGGGUGCGAGCGUUAAUCGGAAUUACUGGGCGUAAAGGGCACGCAGGCGGUUAAUUAAGUUGGAUGUGAAAUCCCCGGGCUUAACCUGGGAAUGGCAUUCAAGACUGGUUAGCUAGAGUCUUGUAGAGGGGGUAGAAUUCCAUGUGUAGCGGUGAAAUGCGUAGAGAUGUGGAGGAAUACCGGUGGCGAAGGCGGCCCCUGGACAAAGGACUGACGCUCAUGUGCG
rnacentral:rRNA from 1 species